UACGAAGGGGGCUAGCGUUGCUCGGAAUCACUGGGCGUAAAGCGCACGUAGGCGGAUUGCUAAGUCAGGGGUGAAAUCCUGGAGCUCAACUCCAGAACUGCCUUUGAUACUGGCGAUCUUGAGUCCGGGAGAGGUGAGUGGAACUGCGAGUGUAGAGGUGAAAUUCGUAGAUAUUCGCAAGAACACCAGUGGCGAAGGCGGUUCUCUGGGCCUUACCUGACGCUGAGGAGCGAAAGCGUGGGGAG
rnacentral:rRNA from 1 species